rnacentral:lncRNA from 1 species
ACCAAUGAUGUGAAUGGAAUGCAUCUGAAUAAAAAUUAUGAUCAAUCAGUUUUUGGAACAACUGAGGUCCACUGCAAAAUGAAGAACUAAUAUGUAAACCUUUGUGGGAAUAAUGUCAGGAAAGUUUGAGAAUCUAGUUCUGGAGCUUGAGAGGGUUCACAGGUACUGAUUUUAUAUGAUUAGCAGAUCCACUUGUGUGGAUCAACACACAAGUAUAUUCAUGAGUAAAGAAAAAGAGGUUAAGACAUGGACCAAUUCUGAGGGCAUGUUGUAAAGCAAGGAAUAUAAUUAAUUCAAUUCUGAAAUACCUUGGUCCAUCAAGAAAAAAAACAGAUUAAAUUUGUCACCACUUUGGGUAAGAAGCAUCUAGAUAGAAGUACUUAAUAGUCAAUGUUCUGUUCUUAGUUUGCUGUGGGUUCCCAGAUGUUUGAUUCAUUAAGACAAAAAAAUUAAAAUUAAACAAACAAAUACGUGUAUAACUAAAUAAAUGGGUGCCAAGUAUGAACCAAUGAUAAGGGUACUUCAUUAUUUUCUAUAUCUGCUUUGUAACCCCACAGAACAGAGGUAACUUGGCUGUUUUAAUAAUUAUUUAAAGGAUGAAGAUCUUGACUGUUACCCAUGUGGCAAGGAGAGUGUAGAACAGGGAAAGAUACUGAUCUCUGUUCUUGGUUAAGUUCCAAGAACCAUCUAAGUUUCGUGCCCCUCAGCUGUAAAAGGGAAGUACAUUUCAUUUGUUUAUUCUGUAAAACUCUCGGUGUGUGCCAUGGCCAUGCACUGAUGAUGAGCACAUGUGUGCGGCCCCUGCCCCCGUGGAGCGCAUGCAUGGUCCUCCAGCCAGAGACCGCGCUGGGAGAAAUCAGGGGUUCACUCCUGGUCGGAGGUGAGCAUCUGCCUCUGCAUGUAGGAAGGCAUCUCAUGAAACCCCAAAGGCCUGGCAGCCCCUGCACAUGGAAGGAGUCACUCUCCUCCAUGUGGGGUGAGCCACGCUGGCCUUGUGGCAUUCACAUGUUCCCUCCACCUGCUUCUCCAGCGUGAAGGGGACCUCAAUGUCCUCUGAUGACCUUCUUGAAGAGAGACAUUUCCUUCCUUCAUUGGAGGCUUUAG